AUUAAAAUUGCAAGGAUUGAUGAUAAGUAAAACAUUUAGCACGGGUUAAAAUACCGCUCUUGUUGUUGACUUGAUUUGUCAUUCCUACAACCUAUUGAAUUUUAUUUGUGAUAUUUUUUCAGAGUCCAAGGUGUAUUGCCACUUUCAAGCUAUUAGGACGGGAUCAACUCCCGUC
rnacentral:ncRNA from 1 species